GUGCUCGCUUCACCAGCACACAUACUAAAAUUGGAAAGGUGCAGACAUUAGCAUGGCCUCUGUGUCAGGAUGACACGCAGACUCAUGAAGGAUCAGGUGCGUAG
ensembl:snRNA U6 U6 spliceosomal RNA